UUUGACUAUAUUACCGACCAGAUCAGCUGCUAUAGAAGACAAACUGAAAUCUGAGUGCAGAGACAAGCAAAGGAAUACUGCAAGGCUCUGGUGCAAAAUAUUGUA